AAUAAAGUUCUAGAUAGAAUAGUGAUAAUGACAAUUUACUAUCUAUGUGUCUUGACCAAAUCUCGUGCCAGCAGUCGCGGUAAGACGAGGAAGACUAGUGUUAUUCAUCUUUAUUAGGUUUAAAGGGUACCUAGACGGUAGAUUUAGCCCCCUAAAGGGUACAGAUUUACUAGAGUUUUAUGUGAGAGGUAUAUAUUCGUACUAUUAAUGUAGAGAUGAAAUUCUUUGAUAUUUCUAGGACUGGUAACGGCGAAAGCAACCCUUUAUAAAAAAACUGACGUUGAGGGACGAAGGCUUGGGUAGCGAAUAGGAUUAGAUACCCUAGUAGUCCAGGCAGACAAUUAUGAGUGUCAUAUAUUAAGAGUAAUCUCAUAUAGAGACUAUUUUAGUGUAUAAA
rnacentral:rRNA from 1 species